GUGUAUGUUUUAAAUCUAGUGGCUUAAUGAAGGCUAUUUACAUGCAGGAAACUAUCUGCAUUCAUGAGAAUAGACUCGAUUCUUCUGGCCAUAAAUAAAUGGAAUAUAACUGUAUUAUCUAAUCCCCUAGCUGGGGUCUUAGCUGUGGUGGCACUGCCGUUUGCUGGCAGGAGCCAUAACUAAGUUGGUUGGUUUGUGUAGGGGUCGUUAAGAGAGUCACUGCGCAGUUUACACGGUCAGCACUGCUGUUCUGAGAAACAGUGUUAACCCACCAGUCACUUUCUGAUAGUCAUGUGUGUCCCAUUCUCAGCCCACUGUGUGAGGGUGAAAAAUAGCAACGGGGAAUAACAACCAAGUCUUAGCUUUUUAAAGUCGGG
rnacentral:lncRNA from 1 species